GGAGGAGUGGCUGAGCGGUUGAAAGCGGACGCCUCGAAAGCGUCUAUGGCAGCAAUGUCAUCGGGGGUUCAAAUCCUCCCUCCUCCG
rnacentral:tRNA from 3 species